UUCUAUGGUGGGCGGUGCGCGGAGGCCGCAAGGCCUGCCGGUUCCCGCUUCUGCCCUACCGGUUUUGAUAGCCGCGUACCGUCCACCACCUUU
rnacentral:antisense_RNA from 1 species